UCGAUUCCCUUAGUAGCGGCGAGCGAAACGGGAAGAGCCCAAACCAACAAGCUUGCUUGUUGGGGUUGUAGGACACUCUAUACGGAGUUACAAAGGACGACAUUAGACGAAUCAUCUGGAAAGAUGAAUCAAAGAAGGUAAUAAUCCUGUAGUCGAAAAUGUUGUCUCUCUUGAGUGGAUCCUGAGUACGACGGAGCACGUGAAAUUCCGUCGGAAUCUGGGAGGACCAUCUCCUAAGGCUAAAUACUCUCUAGUGACCGAUAGUGAACCAGUACCGUGAGGGAAAGGUGAAAAGCACCCCGGAAGGGGAGUGAAAUAGAACCUGAAACCGUGUGCUUACAAGUAGUCAGAGCCCGUUAAUGGGUGAUGGCGUGCCUUUUGUAGAAUGAACCGGCGAGUUACGAUUUGAUGCAAGGUUAAGCAGUAAAUGUGGAGCCGUAGCGAAAGCGAGUCUGAAUAGGGCGUUUAGUAUUUGGUCGUAGACCCGAAACCAGGUGAUCUACCCUUGGUCAGGUUGAAGUUCAGGUAACACUGAAUGGAGGACCGAACCGACUUACGUUGAAAAGUGAGCGGAUGAACUGAGGGUAGCGGAGAAAUUCCAAUCGAACCUGGAGAUAGCUGGUUCUCUCCGAAAUAGCUUUAGGGCUAGCCUCAAGUGAUGAUUAUUGGAGGUAGAGCACUGUUUGGACGAGGGGCCCCUCUCGGGUUACCGAAUUCAGACAAACUCCGAAUGCCAAUUAAUUUAACUUGGGAGUCAGAACAUGGGUGAUAAGGUCCGUGUUCGAAAGGGAAACAGCCCAGACCACCAGCUAAGGUCCCAAAAUAUAUGUUAAGUGGAAAAGGAUGUGGCGUUGCCCAGACAACUAGGAUGUUGGCUUAGAAGCAGCCAUCAUUUAAAGAGUGCGUAAUAGCUCACUAGUCGAGUGACACUGCGCCGAAAAUGUACCGGGGCUAAACAUAUUACCGAAGCUGUGGAUUGUCCUUUGGACAAUGGUAGGAGAGCGUUCUAAGGGCGUUGAAGCAUGAUCGUAAGGACAUGUGGAGCGCUUAGAAGUGAGAAUGCCGGUGUGAGUAGCGAAAGACGGGUGAGAAUCCCGUCCACCGAUUGACUAAGGUUUCCAGAGGAAGGCUCGUCCGCUCUGGGUUAGUCGGGUCCUAAGCUGAGGCCGACAGGCGUAGGCGAUGGAUAACAGGUUGAUAUUCCUGUACCACCUAUAAUCGUUUUAAUCGAUGGGGGGACGCAGUAGGAUAGGCGAAGCGUGCGAUUGGAUUGCACGUCUAAGCAGUAAGGCUGAGUAUUAGGCAAAUCCGGUACUCGUUAAGGCUGAGCUGUGAUGGGGAGAAGACAUUGUGUCUUCGAGUCGUUGAUUUCACACUGCCGAGAAAAGCCUCUAGAUAGAAAAUAGGUGCCCGUACCGCAAACCGACACAGGUAGUCAAGAUGAGAAUUCUAAGGUGAGCGAGCGAACUCUCG
rnacentral:rRNA from 1 species